GCCCCCGUCCCGCCGGAUAGCGGAUCCGAGCCUCCGAAGCUCGGCGGCUCGGUUCGACUCCGAGCGGGGGCUCCA
rnacentral:tRNA from 1 species